rnacentral:rRNA from 1 species
CCUACGGGAGGCAGCAGUGGGGCAUAUUGCACAAUGGGGGAAACCCUGAUGCAGCGACGCCGCGUGAGUGCAGAAGUAUUUCGGUAUGUAAAGCUCUAUCAGCAGGGAAGAAAAUGACGGUACCUGAUUAAGAAGCCCCGGCUAACUACGUGCCAGCAGCCGCGGUAAUAUGUAGGGGGCCAGCGUUAUCCGGAUUUACUGGGGGUAAAGGGAGCGUAGAGGGCAGCACAAGUCUGUGGUGAAAGGCCGGGGCUUAACCCCGGAACUGCGUUGGAAACUGUGCAGCUAGAGUGCAGGAGAGGUAAGUGGAAUUCCUAGUGUAGCGGUGAAAUGCGUAGAUAUUAGGAGGAACACCAGUGGAGAAGGCGGCUUACUGAACUGUAACUGACGUUGAGGCUCGAAAGCGUGGGGAGCAAACAGGAGUAGAUACCCCUGUAGUC